UACGUAGGGUGCGAGCGCUGUCCGGAAUUACUGGGCGUAAAGAGCUCGUAGGUGGUUUGUCGCGUUGUUCGUGAAAACCGGGGGCUUAACCCUCGGCGUGCGGGCGAUACGGGCAGACUGGAGUACUGCAGGGGAGACUGGAAUUCCUGGUGUAGCGGUGGAAUGCGCAGAUAUCAGGAGGAACACCGGUGGCGAAGGCGGGUCUCUGGGCAGUAACUGACGCUGAGGAGCGAAAGCGUGGGGAGCGAACAGG
rnacentral:rRNA from 1 species